AGCUCCAGUAUUUAUACUGUAUUUACACACUAGAUAACCCAUAGGUUUCCAGAAAAGGCCUAUUUCACUUACCCAUAGAAUUGAAACCAGGGGUUUUAAUUUACACAUAAAAUCAGAACCCAGGCAUUUCCAACAACCCAGGAAACAAAAACCCAGAGUUUCUAGUUACCUAGGUUGUCAAAAACCAGGAUUCUCAUUUACCUAGGUUGUCAAAAACCAGGACUUUCGUUUACCUAGGUAGUCAGAAACCAGGAUUCUCAAUUCCCUAGGUAAAAAAAAUGACGUAAGCAAGACGACUAAACAACCGGGAGGGACCUUGGUCUUAUCGUUAUCUCGAGGGGGGGGGCCGCCACCCUUAUAACUGGCUUUCUUCAUGGUUCUCUAAAAAUUAAGGCUUUCCUUGCGAGACGAGAAUCUUCACCAUCUGAAUCAUGAGUCCUGUUCUGUAGGUCCAUCAGGUGAAUCUCUGAGG